CGGUCGUCUUAUUCGGAAAUACGCGACGUAGUUGUCAUUGGUCGCUGGUCGUCGUGGGCGCAAAAAAAAAAAAAAGAAAAAAAAAAUUGUGCUGCGUUGUGUUCUUCGAAAUUAGCUUAAAGCUUUUAGUGAUAUUUAUAAUAGAAGAGCAGCAACAACAAAUAGAAACAAGCUGUGAAAAUUAGUUGAGUUGAUUUUUCUAUGAAGUAAAGAAAAGGCAAAACAAACAAAGAAAAAGAACGACAAAUAGAAAAAGUGAGAGCAAAAGCUGUGUGUGUAUAUGUAUGUGUAGAAGUAAUAUACACACAUACAUACAUAGAUUUCCAUACGCACAAACAAGCAGAAAAUUACAAACACGAAAUUGCAGCAAAAGCAGAAACAGAAACCGAUACUGAAACUGAAACAAGAAAAAAACUGAAAAUGCACAGCAACAACAGCG
rnacentral:sRNA from 1 species